AUCUCUCUGAAACUCCCCACUUCAGUAACCAUUAAAAAUGCGGAAGCUAAAGACCAAAUAAAAUCAAAUGUGGGAAAUCCUUCGUGAAACCCCACUUGCAAGGUAUGUAACUUUUACUCGGUCUUUUGGGUUUCUAUUUGUUGUGGAAACCCUAGCUUUCAUAUCUCAGAGUCAGUUUAAUUCAUAUGAUUUGAAUAUAUUUCCUGCUUAAGUUUUUGUGUCUAUGUUGUGAUAAUUAUUUAUGUUGCUUCAUUGUUACCUACUUAGUAUUUUGAGUUUCUGAACUGAUUUCUUGAAUGAACUUUGUCUUAGAGAUACGGGGAUCAACCAGUUAAGAAAUUUAUGGUGAUUUAAUAGAUCAAUACUUCUGUUGGGUUGUUAUUGGUAUGAAUUUUGGUUAUAAUAUUGAUUGUGAUAUUGCUUGGAAGAAGAAGAAGAGGAGGUUGAGAACAAUAGUCUUGCAAUUCUCGAGUGAAAACAGCAAAGAAAAACCCGCAUUCAAAAGGUUAAACAUAUGUGAGGGGUGUUCUCCAAAUUUGAACCAUCCUCUUAAAUCUGAAGGAUAAAAAUGAAGAUAGAUGCCUAUAUUGAACAUGCAAAGAAGGAACUGAAAUUGGUUGAUGUUGAAAUCUUGGCAAUUAUCGAGGAAAUUGGAAUCUCGCGCAAGCCAUUAGAGAAGGUUAUAGCAUAUAUCAUCAUUACAUUGAAUUUUAGAUUGUUUUGUAGCUUUAACUUUGCUUCUUUUCCUCUGCAGACUAAUCUGGAAAAUAGUGAUCUGGUAUUUUUUCUAUUUUAGCAAAGUUUCAGGAUGCGUCAUUUUUUCAGCAAAGAGUAGUUUAAUGAACCGGGUAAUAAAAUGUAUGAUUAGGAGGGAAUUGCAAGAGUAGAAUGUAAGACCUAAUCUUGAAAAUGUGUUCUGCAGAAUCUUCAUAUCAUAAGCCUGCCCAUAUGCCUGAUACUAUACUUGAUUUUGCUUAAAAUGCAGUAGGAAGAGUUUCUCCUGUUAAUUCUGACAACCCUGCUAAUCCAAAGGUACGAGCUUCAUUUUCAUAUUUGACCCUUUCUAUUUUGAAAUUCCACCUGCAUUAUAGUUAUAUUGUUAGGUGGUUGGACUUCUACAUUUUAAUGCAUGCCUUAUGACUGGAAUUCUCAUACCAUGACUGGAAUGCCGAUGUGUCUGAGUUGUGCUAGCCUUAUAUGUGCACCAUUUUUCUACCUCUUUAGAUUUAGUUUCUUUAGGAUAGCGCUUGAACUCUAGGUUGAUGGAAUGUCUGGGGCCUCCUCCCCUUUUUGUUAGCAGACUGUUAUUAACAGUCGACACCAUAUUGAUUAAAAAUAUGUUUGAAUGUAUAGAUGUGGCUUCCGUAAUGCUGGGUCACAUUUUUCUAUUUCCUAUAGCAGAAAUAAUGUGUUCACACGCAUUAUUGGCUUGGUGCCUGUCCCCAUGGUUCGAUUGAUGAACUUUUUCUCAUAUGAGCAGUUUUUUUGUGUAUUCUUAUUCACGUAAUCAAGUCAUGUUCUCAAAGCUUUGUAGUUUUAAAUUCAAAAAAUGGCAAAACUUCUGUGAAGGUACAAUUACAAAGUAAAGAUACAAACUCUUAAAGUUUUUAUCAUUAUUCCGUAUUUUGUCUCAUUAUUCCUCAUAUGAGCAGUUUUUUUGUGUAUUCUUAUUCACGUAAUCAAGUCAUGUUCUCAAACCUUUGUAGUUUUAAAUUCAACAAAUGACAAAACUGUUCUGUGAAGAUACAAUUACAAAGUAAAGAUACAAACUCUUACAGUUUUUAUCAUUAUUCCAUAUUUUGUCUCACUUUUAAAAGUUGUAUACAGUUGUUUUCUUUUAAAUUGGUUGCUUGAUUGAUGGCUUGCUUUCUUCUUAAUCGUAUUGUCUAUUUAAUUUUUUUGGAUUAGAGAUGUCUUAGGUCAAGACUACAGUGGUCACACCGGUAGUUUGAUUUAAGUGGACGACCGACCUUCUGCCGAUUGUAGUUUCCAGCAGGCCCACAUACGACUGGUGGUCGCCCACCAAAUGUAACCAACUCCUUUUGCAUGUAACUUCCUUUUAUCUCUAUGUUAGCUCCAAUAUUGAUUGAUAUCCCUCUUUCGGUUUGGUUAUAGUCGACACCAGGUUAUGGGACUUCUACCGGAGAAAAUUAAUUUUCUUCCACCAGAGCAACGAGAUCAAGUAGUUCAAUUCCAACGAAUGUUUCGGUAUAACUCUAGCAAACUAUUUUUCUUUUGUGUUGGUUGACCAGCACAGUUACAUAAGAUUCAUGAGAGCGAUGCAGCUGUGCAGAUGGUAGAGACCAAAUUGACUUGGCAAAAGAUGCUCAGAUGUUUCAGUUAAUUUAAAUAUUAGUUCACUUACAAUUUACAUUAUUCGGUAUUAUCAAUUUAUAAACUUUGAGGCUUUGAGGUUUAUGGUGAAUUUUAGAUUGUUUGGUAGCUUACAUUUUACAUUCACAUUUAUUAUAAGAUUUGAGUUUCAAUCGAUUUAUGAUUUCGAUGCAAUGAUGAGUUGAAGCGCAUGGGAGUGCGUAUAGGGCAGUGGGGAAGACAUAAAAAUCUUUGCCGUGAGCCUUUAACAAAAACGACUUCUCCUUCCACUGAGCUCGAGUAUCUCUAUAGAUUCCUUUUUCCGGUUCACUUGUAUUUUGUUUAUGAUAAGCAAAAGCACACAGGUUAGUACGUUAAGUUUUCCAUUGAAAAAUCUGUUCCUUCUUUUUUCUCAUGUAAGUCUACAAGCUAAUUGGUUUUCUCGGAUAGCAGAUUAGCACACUCGAAGGCUUACAGGUGACAUUUUCAUAAAGACCUGAUAAGCUCAAAAGUUGUGCAAAAUCUUUCUAGUCGUUCUGUUUUAUCCUCUUGUGUUAGGUUUUUUGUAAACUUUUACAUUUGGAUCCUUUGUAGAAAGACUAACAUCUUGAAGAUUAUAUGAAGAUUAUAUGUAGUUCAUUAUUAAUGCUGAUUAUUGCUAAUAAUUUAAUGUUAACAAUAAUAAUUGAUUGAUUAUAAUUUUAGAGUUAAUGAAUUUAUUAUUCAGAGAUGUUUGUGUAUUGGAGCUAUCUGCGGAACUGAGUUUUGCUGAAGUUGUGCAGUUGAGUUUUAUAUAAUCUAUUGGUUUAUCAACAAUCAUUUUCUUCACAACAUAUUCUUCACAACAACAACAAUCAAAUCAUUUCUCCACAUUUGUAAUUUUUCUUUUUUCCAGUGUCUUUCAGUUUUAUCAGGAUGUGUACUAUAUAGUGUCUUUUUAUUUUGUUGAUAGUUUUGGAGGUAUUUUAAAAUGCAGAGAUAUGUGUGUAUUGGAAUUGUGCUUCAAAUGCACUUUCAUCCGAAAGAAUUCUCUGCAAAAUUGAUUUUUGGUGAAAGUGGGCAGUUGAGUUUCAUGCAAUCUAUUGAUUUAUCAACAAUCAUUUUCUCCACAUCGUUUCCAUAUUGAUUUUUUUGGUAGGAUUUGUAAGUUUUGCUCACAUUACUAUUGCUCUUGAAAUUUCAGUCAGAUGUUUUGCACCUUCUGCUUCAGUUUGAACUAGAAUCCCGUGACGAUGUUUGUUUUUACAAAUCAUUUCUUUGACAAUGUUUGUUUUUACAAAUCAUUUGGCUUCAUUAUGGUUCCGUUGACGCAAAAUUAUGUUGUUGCUCUAUUUAUUCUCUUAUUUUCAGUUGUUUUGGGUAAGUUUUUGUAAACUUCAAAAUUUUGGAAAUUCUCUUUUGUGGUUGCUUUUUUGAUUCUUGAAAAGUGGUUGGGUAAAUUUAGUUUUGGGACGGGAUGUUGAUGCUGAUGAUGACUACACAUAGACCUGUAAUGAUUGCGGAGAUGACCACAGAACUUGAACAUCUAAGGGGCUGAGGCAUAUUUGUCUUUCAAAGCACUUUAAUAUGUCUUAUUAAAUUUAGCUUUUCCUUCCAAGGCAACGAGUCUUCCCAUGCUUCUUUUUUUUUGAGGGGAAUGUUGUGUUGGAGGUGAUGAUCAUUUCCUGAACAUUUGAAGUGAGAGCUUUCACCUUUUGCCAGGCUUGAGAGCUAAUGCUGUCAAUUCAAAAGGCUCUGUAUCUGAGUCAACAGCAGGUGACUUUUAAUGUCCUAACCUGACUGCCGCUUAGAGCCGAUAUUAAUUUUACCAGGGUAAGAUUGUUUGUAAUUCACUUACAUGUUGCGAGCCACAAUAUCUGGUAAUAUCUCCAAAUGUCUAUUGUGUUUCAUUUUACAGUUGGUUAAAAUCCAAGUUCAUAAGUAUGCUUAGGUUUCAGUAAUGUUAAAUUUUCGCGAGAUAACAAUUGAGAAUGUUAGAUAUACACAGUUUACUGUUAGCGUCGUUAGUUUGUCAUCUUACAAUCCGUUUGUCUGUAUAUGUAAUUUUAACGGUUAUUUUCUAAGUCAGGUGCUCAAUAAUGAAAUUUGCUAUAUGCGGUCUGCCGCUAAUCAAGUUGGGAAUGACCCAAUUGAUUGUGGCUACUUCAUCUCUAACCAAGACGGAAACAUCUCUAAACGCCGUCUCCACCAACGUGCUCAUGUUUUUAAUCUUGAUUGUAAUAUCAAGAUUAAAAAUGGCCUCUUUCAGUUCGUGUUUUACUUACGAUAGAUUUUUCUUUUUUUGUGUUGCAGUGAUAAUUUUUUAAUAUAUUUUUUUAACUUCAUGUAGCCCCCAAGCAGAAAUACUGCGAAUUUACACAUAAGACUAUAUGGAGGAAAGCAACGCUCUUCGUAGUGAUCAUUCGGUUAGGAUUCAUAUAUGACUCUGACUAGCACUAAUGAUGUUGCCGGCACAGUGGAACAGGUCAAUAUGUCACCCCUCAUCUUAAAUUCAUAUUGUGAUUUACAUUAGUUUUUGGUGUAUGAGAUUGUGAUUCUGAAGCAAUUGACGGUGGCAACAAUUAACUGUGCUUAUACAAGUGGACGUCACACAACCUUUUUUUUUUGUUUCAAUGGGUGUAGACAAAUUUGAGCAUAGCAUUUGAGGUGUAUUUCUGUUUAAAUUGAACUAUAAUAUGUCCACAAACAGAUGUCACCUUUGAUAUUGACAUUGGCAAUAGAAGUAUUACAAAGUCACUUUUCCAUGUGACUCAUAUGAGUAAUCGCCAUUGAGUAUCUCUACACUCACAGUUGAAUAUCUUAGUAGAGAGUUUCCAGAGAGUAUCAUCCUUACUAGAUAUCGUUAGCAAACAGUGUUAUCAGCCAGCCGCGACUUUAUGUACAGAUGCAGUAAUCAUUUAUAACGCAGUAAUCAUUUAUAACAUCAGUUUUUCUGAGGCUCAGUUAGAGAGUGAUUACUUUUAAGGCUAAGGAUAUUGAAAUCUUGCCAAAAGUUAAAAGUUCAGUACAUAGCCUAUAAAUAUUAAAAUCUUGCCGAAACUUGAAAAUGUUGUUUGCACAUCCCAGGCUAUGAAAAUUUAAAGCUUGCCGAUAAUAUCUCAGGCCAUUGUUGAUUCAAGUCAUGGCAGUAGGAAGGUUCCCUUUUUUUUUGUCCUUCAUGUCAUUUUUUUUUCUUCUGUUAAACGUAUUAUGAAAUGGUAUUUUUCGCUGUUGUUUGUUUGUAUGGUGAUAUAAAUUUUCGCGAGGUAACAGAGAAUAUUAGAUAUGCACAGUUUACUGUUAGCGUCGCUUAGUUUUUCAUCUUACAAUCCGUCUGUCCGUAUAUGUAAUUUUAAUGGUUGUUAUAUGGGGUUCUGCCGCAAAUCAAGUUGGGAAUGAUCCAAUUGAUUGUGACUCCACUUCAUCUCUAACCAAGGACGGAAACAUCUCUAAACGCCGUUGCCACCAACGUGCUAAUCUUAGGUGGAUGGCUUUAUCUUGCCUGCCCUAGGUGUAGCGAAAAAUUCUUGGUGAGAAUGGUAAUCUUUGGUGCACUAAAUGUGAAGGCAAAGUUGAUAUGCCCAUCGCAAGGUAAUCACCCAAAACUGUGAUUUUUCAUUAUCCGAGAUCAAUGAAUUUUUUUCAUCCUUUAAUUAACUAAUGGAGCGAACAAUGGUUCUUUUUUCAUCCCACGUUCAAUCUUCUCUUUGAAGAAGAGGACCACGCUGGCGCCACAGUCUUUGUGGCUCUGGAUAGUCAGGUCCAGAAAUUGGUCCGUCAAACGGCAGCAGAGCUCAUAAUGAUCUUCGGUAGUUAUUUUGCAGUUCAUCUAUCAGACUUAAAAUAAUAAUCUGCAACGUCAUUGAUUAUGCAUGUUCUAUCUUAGCAGAAAAACAUUUUGUAUGACGAAGCGGAGAAACGGAGCUCAAUGCCAGUGCUUGCAUGCCGUCCACCACCUCUAAUAAGAGUUUGACAUAAGAACUUUUUAGUUUCAUCAUCUUUACUGCAUGAACAUAUACAAGUAUAGAAUGAGUCAUUAGAAAACAUGCCCUAGAGCACAACCCAACUUACAAAUACAUUUAUCUAUUAUGUGAUUAUUUUUUUUGCUAACAGGAUGCAUGCCUACGUAGCACUGCUGAUAAUGGAGGUGGAAGAUUUAACUGCCACUGCUGUGUUUGUGGCGAAAAGCAUUUGAGAUACUGAGCACCAGUGGCUCAUCAAAUAAUGACGUAGAUUUGUCCCUAGGCUACACCAAGGAAAAGGACCAGAGGCAUUACAAUCUGCCAACAGCGAGUGAAAUUGCCAUCAUAUUGACGGGAGACCAAAGUUUGAAAUCAAGAAUGCUGGAUAUCCUUUUGUACCUUAAGGUAAGCCGUGGGUAAAGGAGAAUGCCACCCUGGGUACCUGACACUCCAUUAUGGAACUGAUAUGAUUUUAUUAAUUUCCCUUCAAAAAAAUUAGUUUUUAAAGCUAUUUUUACAAUGAAAUGUUGUGUAGAUAAAGCAGGUGCCAUUGUAGUACAGUGGUAACACUGGGUGAUGAUCAAAUAAAAGAGUAGUAAGAAAAAGAGGGGAUUGGUAGAACCAGGAAGAAACAAAAAUGGAAUAAGAAGAAAGAGAAAGCGGACAGAGUUUUGCAUCAUUUUCAUAAAUGUAUACCCGCUUGGAAGCUUGAAAGUGUUUUAAAUGUUUGUCAAAAUGUCACGGAUUCAAGUCAAUCCUAGCCGUUGAUCAAUGACGACAUGGACAACAAACAAAACACGGUUUUUGGAUCCUAUUUUGACAUCUAUCUAUUCGAUCUAUUAUAUAAAGCCAUCUACCUUAGUGAA